rnacentral:rRNA from 1 species
AGAGUUUGAUCCUGGCUCAGAUUGAACGCUGGCGGCAGGCUUAACACAUGCAAGUCGAGCGGAGAUGAGGUGCUUGCACCUUAUCUUAGCGGCGGACGGGUGAGUAAUGCUUAGGAAUCUGCCUAUUAGUGGGGGACAACAUUCCGAAAGGAAUGCCAAUACCGCAUACGUCCUACGGGAGAAAGCAGGGGAUCUUCGGACCUUGCGCUAAUAGAUGAGCCUAAGUCGGAUUAGCUAGUUGGUGGGGUAAAGGCCUACCAAGGCGACGAUCUGUAGCGGGUCUGAGAGGAUGAUCCGCCACACUGGGACUGAGACACGGCCCAGACUCCUACGGGAGGCAGCAGUGGGGAAUAUUGGACAAUGGGGGGAACCCUGAUCCAGCCAUGGCCGCGUGUGUGAAGAAGGCCUUAUGGUUGUAAAGCACUUUAAGCGAGGAGGAGGCUACUGAGACUAAUACUCUUGGAUAGUGGACGUUACUCGCAGAAUAAGCACCGGCUAACUCUGUGCCAGCAGCCGCGGUAAUACAGAGGGUGCGAGCGUUAAUCGGAUUUACUGGGCGUAAAGCGUGCGUAGGCGGCUUUUUAAGUCGGAUGUGAAAUCCCCGAGCUUAACUUGGGAAUUGCAUUCGAUACUGGGAAGCUAGAGUAUGGGAGAGGAUGGUAGAAUUCCAGGUGUAGCGGUGAAAUGCGUAGAGAUCUGGAGGAAUACCGAUGGC